rnacentral:sRNA from 1 species
AUCCGAAGUGUAAACUUCGGGAUAAUAAUAAAGAUGAAAUUCCUCUUUGACGGGCCAAUAGAAAUAUUGGCCGCUUUUUU